GGGGAGGAGAAGAGGGGAGGAGAGGAGGAGAGGAGAGGAGGAUUCCAAAGCCUCGUUACACCUUUCGGCUUUUUAUAGCAGCUUUGAGGGUCAGAACGGCUUUUCAGACACUAACGACCAACUGCAGAGCGGUGGGGGAGAAUAUAGAACCCUCUGGUGUUCCCUUCUGUGAGUUUGACUUGAGCCUUUGUGUCUCAUUGAGCCCGAGAGAGACACAGAAAUGCACACACACACUCACACGCCUACAGACUGAGCUCUAUUAGUUUUUGAUCCUGCAGGCAAAGAGAGAGCUUGUUAGGCUCCUCUCUGUCUCUCAGUCUCCAGCUAGAUGAGCUGUGUACUCAUUAUCUGUGUGUGUGUGUGUGUGUGUGUGUGUGUAUGUGUGUGUGUGUGUGUGUGUGAACGUGUGUACAUGCGUGUGUGGUGUGUGUGUGUACGUGCAUGUGCAUGUGUGUGGUGUACGUGUGUUUGUGUGUGUGUGUGUGUGCGUGUGUGGUGUACGUGUGUUUGUGUGUGUGUGUGUGUGUGUGUGUGUGUGUGUGUGCCUGUGUGUGUGCCUGAAUGUUAACUAGAGAACAGCUACUUGGGUGAUCAACAGUAUGUUGUUUUUAUGAGCAGAAUUCCACAGGAAGGUGGUUUUUAUGAGUGGUUUAUUACAUUAUUAUUAUUGACAGAAACACCUGAUAAUACAGUUCAAUACUUGAUGAGUUAUUUUAAGACGAGAGACGAGUUUCUGUGAAGACGGAUGUUGGUAAAUAUGAUACAAAAAUGACGUAUUGGAGGCUAGAGAAGUUCACUCUUCAUCAUUUUUGACUUGCACGGUCUCCAUUUUAGUCUCAGCUGUGCUGCUGGUCGAAAAAGGUUCACAAUAACAAGUUAAACAAAGCAUUUUGUUCAGAUUAAAGGUGAGGGGGGAGAGGAGGGGGGAGAGAUGAUAUAAGAGAGGAGAGAGAGAUAAUAAUAGAGGAUAGAGAGAGAUAAUAGUAGAGGAUAGAGAGAGAUAAUAGUAGAGGAUAGAGAGAGAUAAUAGUAGAGGAUAGAGAGUGAUAAUAGAAGAGGGGAUAGAGAGCGAUAAUAGAAGCGAGGAGGAGAGAUAAUUGUAGAGGAGAGAGAGAGAAGAGAGGAAAGAGAGAACAGAAGAGAGGAGAGAUAAUUGUAGAGGAGAGAGAGAGAUAAGAGAGGAGAGGAGGAGAGAAUUGUAGAGGAGAGAGAGAGAUAAGAUAGGAGCGAGAUAAGAUAGGAGAGAGAGAUAACAGAGGAGAGGAGGAUAGGUAAUUGUAGAGGAGAGAGAGAGAGAUUAGAGAGGAGAGAGAGAUAACAGAGGAGAGAGUGAUAACAAAGGAGAGAUAAUUGUAGAGGAGAGAGAUACGUGAGGAGAGAGAGAUAUCAGAGGUGAGGAGGAGAGAUAAUUGUAGAGGAGAGAGAGAGAUAAGAGAUGAGAGAGAGAACAGAAGAGAGGAGGAGAGAUACUUGUAGAGGUGAGAGAGAGAUAAGAGAGGAGAGGAUGAGGGAUAAUUGUAGAGGAGAGAGAGAGAUAAGAGAUGAGAGAGAGAACAGAAGAGAGGAGGAGAGAUAAUUGUAGAGGAGAGAGAGAGAUACGGGAGGAGAGAGAGAUACAGAGGAGAGAGAGAUAGCAGAGGUGAGGAGGAGAGAUAAAUGUAGAGGAGAGAGAGAUAAGAGAUGAGAGAGAGAACAGAAGAGAGGAGGAGAGAUAAUUGUAGAGGAGAGAGAGAUAACAGAGGAGAGAGCGAUAACAUAGAGAGGGGGAGAGAUAAUUGUAGAGGAGAGAGAGAGAUAACAGAGGAGAGAGAGAUAACAGAGAGGAGAGAUAAUUGUAGAGGAGAGCGAUAAGAGAGGAGAGAGAUAGCAGAGGUGAGGAGGAGAGAUAAUUGUAGAGGAGAGAGAUAAGAGAUGAGAGAGAGAACAGAAGAGAGGAGGAGAGAUAAUUGUAGAGGAGAGAGAGAGAUAAGAGAUGAGAGAGAGAACAGAAGAGAGGAGGAGAGAUAAUUGUAGAGGAGAGAGAGAGACAACAGAGGAGAGAGAGAUAACAGAGGAGAGGAGGAGAGAUAGUUGUAGAGGAGAUAGAGAUAAGAGAGGAGAGAGAGAUUACAUAGAGAGGGGAGAGAUAAUUGUAGAGGAGAGAGAGAGAUAAGAGAGGAGAGAGAGAUAACAGAGGAAAAUGAGAGAUACUUUUAGAGGUGAGAGAGAGAUAAGAGAGGAGAGGAGGAGAGAAUACCUUACUGGUCGUUUACUGUGCUCCUCCCAUAUCAACAUGUCCUGUAGUUUACUGUGCUCCUCCCAUAUCAACAGGUCCUGUAGUUUACUGUGCUCCUCCCAUAUCAACAGGUCCAGUGGUCUCAAGCCUACAGUAGACAGAGGGUGAUGAUUUCGAUGCAAGGUGAUCGAUAAAUUAUAAUACGAUUUUUGAGAGCUUGGAACAUGAUUGAAUAUAUUUUCUGUCCUGUUUUUGUUUGUAUCUCACGUUGAAUUCACUCUGACA
ensembl:lncRNA